rnacentral:rRNA from 1 species
GGCGCAGGCGGCCUGGUAAGUCGAAUGUGAAAUCUCCCGGCUUAACUGGGAGGGGUCAUUCGAUACUAUCAAGCUUGAGUGCAACAGGGGAAGGUGGAAUUCCCGGUGUAGUGGUGAAAUGCGUAGAUAUCGGGAGGAACACCAGUGGCGAAGGCGGCCUUCUGGGUUGUUACUGACGCUUAAGCCCGAAAGCGUGGGGAGCAAACAGGAUCAGAUACCCUGGUAGUCCACGCUGUAAACUAUGGACACUGGGUAUGGGGAGUAUCGACCCUCUCCGUGCCGAAGUUAACACGUUAAGUGUCCCGUCUGGGAACUACGGCCGCAAGGCUAAA